GGAACAUCCAGGUGCUCUUGUGCAAACUGUAAACGUGCAGCCAUGUUUUGUUUGGACAGCAGUGCCUUCCUCUGGUAUCCUCCCAUGAAAUCCAUUCUUGUUUAGUGUUUUACGUAUUGUAGAUUCGCUAACAGGGAUGUUAGCAUUUGCCAGUGACUUUUGUAAGUCUUUAGCUGACACUCUAGGAUUCUUCUUCACCUCAUUGAGCAGUCUGCGCUGUGCUCUUGCAGUCAUCUUUACAGGACGGCC